rnacentral:rRNA from 1 species
UACGAGGGGUGCAAGCGUUGCUCGGAAUUAUUGGGCGUAAAGGGUAGGUAGGUGGUCUCAUUUGUCUGGGGUGAAAGCCUUGAGCUUAACUCAAGAAGUGCCCCGGAAACGGUGAGACUCGAGUACUGGAGAGGGUCGUGGAAUUCCCGGUGUAGCGGUGAAAUGCGUAGAGAUCGGGAGGAACACCAGAGGCGAAGGCGGCUCACUGGACAGUUACUGACACUCAACAACGAAAGCGUGGGGAGCAAACAGG